UACGGAGGGGGCGAGCGUUAUUCGGAAUUAUUGGGCGUAAAGAGCUCGUAGGCGGCCUGUUGCGUCCGCUGUGAAAGCCCGGGGCUUAACCCCGGGUCUGCAGUGGAUACGGGCAGGCUAGAGGUAGGUAGGGGAGAAUGGAAUUCCCGGUGUAGCGGUGAAAUGCGCAGAUAUCGGGAGGAACACCGGUGGCGAAGGCGGUUCUCUGGGCCUUACCUGACGCUGAGGAGCGAAAGCGUGGGGAGCGAACAGG
rnacentral:rRNA from 1 species